GGCCUCUAGCUCAGUUGGCUAGAGCGUUGGCUGUAAGAAAGCUUUUCCCUUGCUGGCGUGGGUUCGAAUCCCACCGAGGCCG
rfam:Schistocephalus solidus strain NST_G2 genome assembly, scaffold: SSLN_scaffold0005238